ensembl:snRNA U6 U6 spliceosomal RNA
GUGCUUGCUUCAGCAGCAUAUAUACUAAGACUGGAACAAUACAGAGAUUAGCUUGGCUCCUGCCCAAGGAUGAUAUGUGAAUUCAUGAAGUGUUCCAUGAUUUU